rnacentral:misc_RNA from 1 species
UGCCCGGCGGUGCGCGUCGGACGGUCGUCCCUCUUCGCUCGAGACCCGCUGCCCCUCCCUGCUGUUCCGUGGUCCACGCCGGCGAUGCGCGCCAGCCGAGCGGUCGGCGACGCGUAGAAGUUAGGAAAGGUCGGGCGGGCACUGGCGCCCGCGAGGCCCCUCGAGUCGGCACGUGCGCCGCGCGCCUACGGACUCCUGGGACUCUCAUCGAGUGCUCGUUCCCCGCCGCGGCAGUGACCCUCGAACCGCCAAGAUGAAGAUCCCGGCCACGGUGCAGGAUGUCGUAUUCAAAGUCCCCGCCCCGCCGAGGGAGAAGAAGCCCAUGAGGAACGUGGUUAAGCCACGUGCUCUAAGAGUGGCGAGGAACUCGAACGACUCUCACGUCCCGUUGGAGAAGGUGGAACCGGAUCGGAAGUUCCACCAGGUCCUGUUCGAUCUGGGCCCGGCCGAUUUGAUCAGGGUCCUGGCGAGCAGCUUGAAGGGCCAGUACCCGAUCGGUUGGUCCGGAUACCCAGGAACCGAGGACCAGGAGCCGAUCUUCCACCGGCGCCUGGCGCCCCCGCGACAGCCGAGCCUCCAGGAGGUCGCCCUGCACUACUACUGGAAGCUAAGGCAGCCCGUGGUGAACGACUCGGACUCCUUUUGCACAAACUUGAACUCAAACUCGGACACCAAACCGAUCAGGAAGCGCGGAACGGCGAGGUGCUCGCGGUGCUUAAAUCACGAAGUGAACAUGCCGCUGAAGGGUCACAAGCGGUACUGCUUCUACAAGUACUGCAUUUGCACAAAAUGUCUGUCGACGGCGGAGAGGCAGGUGAUCAUGGCCGCCGAGACGGCCAAGAGGAGGAACGAGAAGCAGGACAGAGAGAGGGUACUCCUCGACGGAGAGGUCUAUCGGCCGUUCAUCCAGUGGAACGCGAAAAUCUCCUCCAGCCCAUUCAAGUUGGUCAACUUGAACCGCAAAUUGUGUGCCCUGAAAAGGACCAUGGAAAAGAGGAAAAUGAAGACCAAACUCGACAAAAUGCCAACUUCUACGGGACACCCCGGGGCAGAGUUGUUGGGGGCGUGUCCGACGUCCGAAGCUCUACGAAAGUCGCAGGAUCUGUCUCAGAGUCCCGACUCGCUGGGAGCUCGUUUGCAGGCUCAUUCGUCGCUCCCCCAAAGUCCUGGCCCGUUGAUCGUGCCUCUGCAGGAACUGUCUCGGAUGCAGAGUCCUGGCAACCUGAGCGCCUGUUUGGAGAAUCCACCUCAGACCCCGAGUCCGGGCUCGCAGGAGCUGUCGCGGACGCAAAGUCCUGGCACGCUGGGUGCUCCUUUGCAGAGUCCAUCUCAGACAUCGAGUCCGGUUCCGCAGGAUCUGUCGAGGAUACAGAGUCCCGACUCGCUGGGCGCUCGUUUGCAGGCGCUUUCGUCUCACCCCCAAAGUCCCGACCCGUUGAUCGUGCCUCUGCAGGAACUGUCUCGGACGCAGAGUCCUGGCAAACUGAGCGCUCGCUUGAAGAAUCCACCUCAGACCCCGAGUCCGGGCUUGCAGGAUUUGUCACGGGCGCAGAGUCCUGGCACGCUGGGCGCUCCUUUGCAGACGUCGAGUCCCGUUCCGCAGGAUCUGUCUCGGACGCAAAGCCCUGGAUUGCUGCUGGAUCCUCUGCAGAAUCCUGGCUUGCUGGGCAUACCCUUGAAGAACUCGCCUCGGACCCUGAGCCCGGACCCGCAGGACCUGUCCGAUGCGCAAAGUCCUGUCGCGCUGCCCUUGCCUCUACAUGAUCUGUCCCGGACGCAGAGUCCUGGAAAACUUGGCGCUCCAUUGCAAGACCAACCUCAGACCCGAAGUCCCGGUCCGCAGGACCUGUUUCGAACGCAAAGUCCUGGAUCGCUGCUCGAACCUCUGGAGAACCUGUCCGUGACGCAGAAUCCUGCCUUGCUGAAUAUAUGCCUGAAAAGUUCGCUUCGGGCGCAGAGUCCGGACUCGCAGGACCCGUCCGAUGCGCAAAGUCCUGUCACGCUGCCCGCACCUCAACAGGACUUGACUCGGACGAAAAGUCCUGGAUCGUUGCUCGAUCCUCCCCUGAACCUGUCCGUGGCGCAGAAUCCUGGAUUGGUGCGCAUACCGCUGCAGAAUUCACCUAGGGCACAGAGCCCGGACUCGCAGGACUCGUCGCAUACUCAGAGUCCUGGCUUGCUGGCCGUUCCUCCGCAGGAUCCGUCCAUGACGAGGAGUCCCUUGAUGGGCUCCCCCUUGCAGAAUUCAUCUCCGGAACGGAACCCAAGCCCACAGGACCCCUCUUCGACGCAAGGUCCUUGCUGGAUGCCGACUUCUCCGCAGGGCUCGCCCCGGGCCCCGUGGCCUGGAUCGCUCCCUGGACAUCUACAAAAGCCCCUUCAGGUGCAGCCUCCCGGAUUGCCGAUAGAUUCCUCGAUGAACUCGCCUGAGCCUCCUAACGCCAACUCGCCGCAUGCAUCUCCGAUGGAAGUUGUCCAGACCAACGAUCAAGUGCUUUACGUGUUCGAAAAACUGGAGAGCAUGACGGACUUGCUUCAGCUCACCUUGGAGCUGUUAAAUAAAUUCGAGUACACGUGGGACACCAUUCCACUGAUGUAUCUGAUCCUGAAGAGCGUGAUGGGCGACAGGGAGAAGGCCUCGCGGCUGAUACGCGAAGCGACCGAGGAGUUAAUUCCGCCUUUCGCUGCAGUAUUGCCUGUCUUUAUUGUCCUAGUUUGUAAGAUUGUUCUAUCUGACAAUGCCAAUUAUCCGUAUAUCGGAGAUUCGUUCUACGGUCGACUCGGUACGUCGACGGAUUAUCUGAAAACGCGACGUCUCGUCAGAAUUGUUCGGCCAGUCUGAAAAAUUGGAUUCGCAUAUUGACUGAUGAUAAAAUAGAGGUUCACGGUAAAAUCUGAUUCCCCGCGUUGGAAUCUCUGGGGAAUUCGGGCUUGCAUAGAUUUUUCGAAAGUACCUCGAUGCACACGGACGAUCGAUUUUCCGAGCUGAAUUACGCCAAGAUUCGAAGAUCAUCAUCCCCAUCGCUCCAAGACGUCGAUGACAGUUAAUCGAAGAACCACCCCGAAGAGUCGAAGAACCACCUCCGAAAAGUUGGAAAGAGUUCUACGUUAGCUAUCUCCCCGUGUGAUAAGAAAUUCCCACGAAACGUGGGCUUCGAGCCAACCUUUUGCUUCGACCUCGUGCACUCGCGGGGACGUGAUCGAUCGAAUAACGUGGCCGGGAGUCGUGAAGCCACGAAGAUGCCCGAGGAAAUCGACCACGAAGAGCUCUCGAAUCGACCACGAAGACGUCUCGGAAGAGCUUCACCUCAAGAGGAACGUCGUCACGGUCGAGUCGCCGCCGUUCGUCUUCGGCGCCAAGUCAACGACGAGAUCAGGAAGAUCUACAAUUACCACUGCAACAGGAUUUCGGAAAACAUGCCCAGCCCGGGAAACGAGGCCAGCGUCUGCACCACCGAGG